rnacentral:sRNA from 1 species
GGUACGAUAGAGCUCGGUUGCCGCAGCAAAGUCGCGAUCGACGUCCGCCGUGCGCGCCGCAAGGAAUGCGCCGGCAAAGGUGUUGAC